rnacentral:rRNA from 1 species
AUCUCAUAAAGUAUGUCACAGUUCGGAUUGAAGUCUGCAACUCGACUUUAUGAAGCAGGAAUCGCUAGUAAUCGUGGAUCAGAAUGCCACGGUGAAUACGUUCCCGGGCCUUGUACACACCGCCCGUCACACCAUGGGAGUAAAUUGUAAAAGAAGUAGAUAGCUUAUUACCACUUUAUGAUUUAUGACUGGGGUGAAGUCGUAACAAGGUA